GCGUCUCCUUCACUCAAGUCCUAUGUCUUUCACUAGCACCGCUCUCCAAAUCACCAUGGUUACUCUACAAGGAGACUCAAGGGAACUGGUCUUCACAUCCAGUAACUAUGGAGACAAGGGGAUGGUUGGCAAAUGAGAGUCCAGCAAGAAGUCGACCGGCGGUCACUUGACUACAUCCCAUUGCAACCUUGCUAUUAAAGAGCUUUUCCACAUGGUGGACAACACUACUAAAGUCACAAAUACCAUUGAUGCCAGUAUGAACAGCAGGCUUUUGAAGAUAAGCAGACACCCUAAUAUUUUGAGGCAGUGUAUAAGUGACAUCGUGAGGACUGUCAUUUUUUUUUUUUUAUAUGGCAAAACAAAAAAGUUUUGAAAAUGUUGGUCUGACCCUCUCAAAAUCUUCCAUUUGGUGUAAAAACACUGUUUUCGAAAUUAUUUUGAUAUUUAGGGGUCACUCAAGGACCUGUAAACUGG